rnacentral:piRNA from 1 species
UUUGCUCAUCUGCACGGUGAC